rnacentral:lncRNA from 1 species
GUUAGAUUAAAAACAAAAGAAGGAAGGUAUGUAGAAGAGGAUAAAGGUCUAGCUGACUGCCUCAAUGAAUAUUUUUGUUCUGUAUUUACAGAUGAAAAUGAAGGAAAGGGACCUCAGUUGAGAAAAAGGAUAAAUGAGUCAUUUAUUACACGUGAGUUUACAGAGGAAGAUGUUCUAUUUCAACUGUCAAAAGUAAAGACAAAUAAGUCAAUGGGACCUGAUGGAAU